AGCGAACGCUGGCGGCAGGCUUAACACAUGCAAGUCGAGCGAGCACUUCGGUGUCAGCGGCAGACGGGUGAGUAACACGUGGGAACGUACCCUUCGGUUCGGAAUAACGCUGGGAAACUAGCGCUAAUACCGGAUACGCCCUUUUGGGGAAAGGUUUACUGCCGAAGGAUCGGCCCGCGUCUGAUUAGCUAGUUGGUGGGGUAAUGGCCUACCAAGGCGACGAUCAGUAGCUGGUCUGAGAGGAUGAUCAGCCACACUGGGACUGAGACACGGCCCAGACUCCUACGGGAGGCAGCAGUGGGGAAUAUUGGACAAUGGGCGCAAGCCUGAUCCAGCCAUGCCGCGUGAGUGAUGAAGGCCUUAGGGUUGUAAAGCUCUUUUGUCCGGGACGAUAAUGACGGUACCGGAAGAAUAAGCCCCGGCUAACUUCGUG
rnacentral:rRNA from 1 species